CGGGCGGGUGCUAUACAUGCAGUCGAGCGGACCUCUUCGGAGGUCAGCGGCGGACGGGUGAGUAACACGUGGGCAACCUGCCUGUAAGACUGGGAUAACUCCGGGAAACCGGAGCUAAUACCGGAUACUAUGUCAAACCGCAUGGUUUGACAUUCAAAGACGGUUUCGGCUGUCACUUACAGAUGGGCCCGCGGCGCAUUAGCUAGUUGGUGAGGUAAUGGCUCACCAAGGCGACGAUGCGUAGCCGACCUGAGAGGGUGAUCGGCCACACUGGGACUGAGACACGGCCCAGACUCCUACGGGAGGCAGCAGUAGGGAAUCUUCCGCAAUGGACGAAAGUCUGACGGAGCAACGCCGCGUGAGUGAUGAAGGUUUUCGGAUCGUAAAACUCUGUUGUCAGGGAAGAACAAGUGCCGGAGUAACUGCCGGCACCUUGACGGUACCUGACCAGAAAGCCACGGCUAACUACGUGCCAGCAGCCGCGGUAAUACGUAGGUGGCAAGCGUUGUCCGGAAUUAUUGGGCGUAAAGCGCGCGCAGGCGGUUUCUUAAGUCUGAUGUGAAAGCCCCCGGCUCAACCGGGGAGGGUCAUUGGAAACUGGGAAACUUGAGUGCAGAAGAGGAGAGUGGAAUUCCACGUGUAGCGGUGAAAUGCGUAGAGAUGUGGAGGAACACCAGUGGCGAAGGCGACUCUCUGGUCUGUAACUGACGCUGAGGCGCGAAAGCGUGGGGAGCGAACAGGAUUAGAUACCCUGGUAGUCCACGCCGUAAACGAUGAGUGCUAAGUGUUAGAGGGUUUCCGCCCUUUAGUGCUGCAGCUAACGCAUUAAGCACUCCGCCUGGGGAGUACGGUCGCAAGACUGAAACUCAAAGGAAUUGACGGGGGCCCGCACAAGCGGUGGAGCAUGUGGUUUAAUUCGAAGCAACGCGAAGAACCUUACCAGGUCUUGACAUCCUUUGCCACUUCUAGAGAUAGAAGGUUCCCCUUCGGGGGACAAAGUGACAGUGGUGCAUGGUUGUCGUCAGCUCGUGUCGUGAGAUGUUGGGUUAAGUCCCGC
rnacentral:rRNA from 1 species